CAGUGAUGAUUAUGAAGAAAUCCUUUGUGUUACUGGGUCAGAUGCAGAGAAUGCAACAGAUGCCAAAAAGGUAGCAGAAACUAAACUUUUUGCUGGCAUGCUGUUGGGAAAAGACUUUGUAAAAUUCCAAAUAGACUGUGGUGCUACUUGCAAUGUUAUCCCAGUUAACUUACUGAAUCCUGAUACAAGACUGGAGGAAACAAAGACACUUCUAGUCAUGUACAACAAAACCAAGCUAAGACCACUAGGAAAAUGCAAACUUAAGCUGAGAAACCCUCGGAACCAGAAACUUUACAAGCUGGAGUUCCAAGUGGUGAAUGAAAACUGCUCUGUGCCUCUUUUGGGUAAAAGAGCGAGUGAGGCAAUGAAACUAAUUAAAGUCCAUUAUGAAAACAUCAUGGCAAUAGACAGCAUAGUCACCUCACAGGCUCCCUCAAAGGGACAGUGGACGCUGGAGAAGAUAAAAACAGAGUAUGCAGAUGUCUUUAAUGGAGAUGGAUGUUUUGAAGGACUUUACAAAGUUGAAGUAGAUGAGUCUAUUAAACCUGUGCAGCUGCCAAAGAGACGUGUUCCUGUAGCAAUGAUGAAACCCCUCAAAGAUGAACUAAAAGACUUGGAGCGCAGAGAGAUAAUAUCGCCUGUAGAGCGAAGCACAGACUGGAUUAGUGGCAUGGUGGUUGUCCAAAAAUCAAAUGGGAAACCAAGGGUUUGCAUUGACCCAAGACCCUUAAACAAAGCACUAAGACGCAGCCAUUUUCCCUUGCCGACUAUUGAAGAUAUUCUCCCUGAUCUGUCCAAAGCUAAAAUUUUCACAGUGUGUGAUGUAAAAAGUGGAUUCUGGCAUGUCAAACUGGAAGAGGAGUCCAGCUAUUUGACAACAUUUUCUACCCCAUUUGGACGUUAUCGUUGGCUCAGAAUGCCAAUGGGAAUCUGUACUGCACCAGAGAUCUUUCAGAGGAAACUGACACAGGCACUGGAGAAUCUGCCUGGUCUGUACAUUAUCGCAGAUGAUGUGUUGAUCACAGGCCAAG
rnacentral:lncRNA from 1 species